AUGAACAGAAAACUUCAGGCCAUGACCAGAUACUUGGAGACGCUCAUCUUGGACAUGCCUGAGGGCAGCGAUGGUUACACCACCUCGGUCACAGAGAGUGAAAACCUCUGCACUUCAAGGACAUCGCUGUACCCUUUGAGCACCAGUUGCGGGGAAAUGAAGGCACCUUGCUCACACCAAAGAGCCCAGAAGAACUUGGAAAGCUCCAUCCCAGAAAGCAAAGUGGAGCAGGGACUGGGCCUCGGUGAUCAGAAAAGGCCUGGUGUGCUGGUGGAUCCCUUGGUGCGGGACCCAGCCUUGGUGGAUGAGGCUACGGGAAGUCAUCCGGAGCAUCCAAACAUAAUGCAGGCACCACAGCACCUGCAGAGGACUUUCUCAGACCCUGUACUGGGGAAGAAAGACUCCCACCUUCCCCAUCCACUGAGGCAAUCAAGAAGGUCCACUCACUCCCCCUUCCAGUGCAGGCACGGGCAGACUCAGGCAAGGAGGUCAGCAGUGCACGCCCUUGACCCAGGGCGAAAAUCUGCCUCCAUGCCGGAUACACGCAGGCACAAAGGAACAAAGUUUCCAAUCCAGAUUGCCUGCUACAGAUUCAUUGAAGGCCCUGAACACCAGCAGAACCGGAUGAUGCAUCUAUGGCUGGAGCAGUAUGCGUAUGCUGGGAUGCAAAAGAUGAACUCCGCAGCAGAACACCGCAUCCUGCCUGGCAACGAAAGAUCCCAGAGCGUGACUCCAUCUGACGCUGCAGCCCUGGGUGAUGCAAGAGGUGCAACAGUGGAAAAGAGGAAUUCAGCCAAGGACAAGGCCAGUAAGCAACAGGGCCAGAAAAAUACCACUGCUGCCCAGCAGCCAGAGGAGCUUCCGCCACAGCCGUUCAGCCCCCAGCCAGCACACGCGUGGAUGAGGCCCGGGCGUGUCGCAACAGAACAUGAGACACCUAGGCCAGAGACACCACCUCUGCAUCACAGAAGCUGCUGUGUGCCAACCCACCUCAUGCGCCUUUACAUUCAGCGUGCCUGGUCCAAGCUCCGAGCUGCAAGCAAGGCCCUCUUUUCCACAAUCAGAAAGAGAUGUUAUAAGCUCUCGAGGAAGGAAGGAGAGCCCAUCAAGGAAAACAGAUUCUCAGAGCCAACCAAGCUGGACACAGAUCAGUGUGGGAGUAGACGAUGGCUCAGACUACUGGCCAAAAGGAAAAGCCCACGUCCACCCCUGACGGCACUGAAGAAGGACUUGGUGGCAUCUGAAGAUAAGACUUUCAGUGGUGCCCUUGAGGCCGGAGGUGCCAAUAAGGCAUCGAGCCGGGGUGGCAGCACCCACAGCCACCAGGACGUGCUGGCUCCUGUUGGCUGUAGAGAGCCAGCCCAAGUGCUGGUACCUGGGAGUGGGCAGCUCUUGGAGACCCAAGCUCCUGCUCCAUCUCAAAAUGUUGAUCUAGCAGCUGUCCAGGUGGGUACAGCUGCAGUGAGUAGCGGAUUGCCACCUGAUGCUACCAGUGGGCAGGAGCAGAAGGACAAGGGACACACCCAGGACAAGCCAGCUCCUCCAAGAAGAGUGUCCCCAAAGAGAAAACGCUCCUCCAGUGAGCAGAGACCCUCUAAUCUGCCACAGCCUCCAAAUCCCACUGGAACUAACAUUCCAGACUCCCUCAUGCAGGAGCUCUUCUCAGCAAUUCACAAUUUGAACCAAGCCAGACAAACUGCUGGUGAGCUGCAGAAGCUGGUGCAGGCUUCCUUUUCAAAGGUGCCCGCAAACAACGUCAAGUAA
rnacentral:lncRNA from 1 species